rnacentral:rRNA from 1 species
UACAGAGGUCUCAAGCGUUGUUCGGAUUCAUUGGGCGUAAAGGGUGCGUAGGUGGCGCCGUAAGUCGGGUGUGAAAUUUCGGAGCUUAACUCCGAGACUGCAUUCGAUACUGCGGUGCCUGAGGACUGGAGAGGAGACUGGAAUUCAUGGUGUAGCAGUGAAAUGCGUAGAGAUCAUGAGGAAGACCAGUGGCGAAGGCGGGUCUCUGGACAGUUCCUGACACUGAGGCACGAAGGCCAGGGGAGCAAACGGG